rnacentral:lncRNA from 1 species
AAUUUUGAUAUAUCAAAAAACAUCUAAGUAAUAGACUUUAUUUGUUAGCGAUAUUUUUCAUUUUAUGUUUUAACCAAAGUAAAUUUUUACCAUUGAAUAAAAACGCGUUCGUUCAUUACAGUGAUAUCAACCAAUGAAAACUAACAACUAAAUUCUUUCUUAUUUGCAAUGUUUAGAUACAUUGAUGUAGACCGGGAUUUAGUAUCAACUAUCAAUAUGUUGGAGCAAAUGAGAAGGUACCUAAUGAACAAAAAUAUCAAGAUCUUCCAUUUCUCUAUGCAUGUACACUUACCAGCUUUAAGAAAACUACUUUGAGCUAUAGAACUUACCCACCUCCACCCCACCAACCCUACUUUCCUACCUCUCAAAUACCAAUGUCGAAACCGCCAAUGCCAACCAAGAAGAGCUAUCCACUACUCCACCAUCCCUAGCAAACAUCUGUCAUAGUAUGAUACUAUGAUUCCUGCACCAAAGCCCGCACUGUUAUCUGUUCUCUUGCUUCCGUUCUUUCCUUGAAUUAUCCUUUUUAAUUCUUCAGUUGAAACUCAUGAAUUCUCCUUCCACAGAUCUUCUAGCUUUUCUGGCAGCCUCACUCAGACGCCAGCGUCAGCCAUCUCUGCAGUUGGCUUUAGGACACCUUCCAAUCAUCCAGCCUGACUUACAUCUUGUCUUCUUGCCAGUCAUUACCCGGGUAUAUAUAUCUUUCAAGAAGUUGUCCUUCAUAAACCAUUGGCAGGAUUAAAAGCUGUUGUCUUGUACUUAUUUUCCCACAUAAUUGUUAUACAUAAUGGUCAGUUAUGGUAUACGUCCCGACCUUUCACAUUCUAACAUCCUAGAGUUUCGCAUUCUAGCAUUAAUCAUGAAACAAAAGAAAGAGGCUUUUUUGGUAAAAUGAGAGAAAAAUGUGAAAAAAUGACAAAAAAGAUAAUAGCCAUUCUGGUCUAAGAGAGAUGCCAUGUCAGCACUCUUGAAUUGCAACCACCAUGAACAAGCUGGUUUUUAGUUAUGACCACCAGUCCUAAAGUCCAGGUAGCUAACUUUGCAAGUUUGGCAUUUCUUGUAGAGUUACAAAAUAACAAUAUUUAGAGAAAGUCAGACAGAAAAAGAAAGAAGAUAUAAAGAGAAAGAAUAGAGAGCAGAAAAUAAUUAAUUGCUCUCCUAUCUGAUGCAAAGCAGCAGGCAAUCUAGGACAUAUCUUCACCGAGAUUAGAAUGAAUAUUUCUCUUAAACAAGACAGGAGGAGCUGUUUGUCACCUAUACGUGGUACAUUUCUUCAGUAAACACCUAUCAACCGUCAUAGAGCUAGAACAUGAAGUCAAAACGUACUCUUGCUUCUGAACCUGCUUUAAGUAACUUAAAGAACCUUUAGGACAAGGAGUAGCCAAGGCAAAGAUCUAACCAAGUUAAAAGAAACCCAAUUUCUUAAAACCUAAUACAUCAACGUACACCCAAAUAACCCCGGAUACUUUUUUUAUACACCUGGAUAAAAUCUUGAAUUUAGUUUAGAAAAACAGCCAAAUCCUACAUUAGGACUUCAGGAUUAAAUCAUCUCAUGUGUGGCUAAGACCACGAGGGCACAAGUUCAAGCAUGCAAGUUAGCUGCAUGCAUAAGACCAAAUGUCCAACCCUUCUUCGGAUCCCACAAAUGUUGGAAGCUUAGUACACUAGGCUUCCCUCCUUAUGUUUAGCUAAUAGAGGAGUGGGAAAGACAAAUUACACAGAUUUUAAUCAACUACUUCAAUUGGUUGUCAAAAAACACUACCCAGAAACUACAUGAAUUAUUCAAAAAUCUCCAAACCAACUCAGUGAAGGAAUGUAUAUAAACAAAUAAUAAAUCACAAGACCUCGACUAUAGCCAAACCCCAUCACAGAAAAACCAAGUAACGCGGGCAUACAUCCAAAUAGAAACAUAGAAAACAUAAUCUUUUAACAUUAUAAAGGUCAAUGUAACAUACAACUUAUACACAAUCACAUGCAAUUCAUGGAUGAAAAAAGGGAAAAAAUAUGGAAAAUCGAAGCCUGACCUUUUUGUCAUCCAAAUAUCGACUCCUUUCCCAGUUGUGGCCUUCAAAUAUAACUCAGAAAUUUCAGAUAAAUUAACUGCAGUGGGAGACCCCUACAUAAUAAAUAAAAAACAAUAAAACCUCAAAAUUUGGAUUAGAUAUCAAAAUGGUGAUCAACAAUCAUCAAAUUGAAAUUUUAACAAAACCCCACAAAAUAUUUGCUUCCUAUUGGACCCUUUUGCAUGUUAAGAACAAGAAAACAAAGAAAUAACUAUACACUACCAAUUUGAAAAUUUCAUGUAAUUAAAGAUAAUAACUAAAACUUUUAAUCAAAUGGGUAACGAAAACUAACCAAAUUGAGGUUGAUCAAGGCGAUCGAUAGAUCCCAGAGGGAGAAUGGAAAAGAGAGGUUUCAAUGGAGAAAGUGGAAAUUAUUUACGGUUAACUGCUAAUUGGCUGUUUGAUUCUCAUAUUAAUUGGCCGCGUUAUUUAUUUUUGGAGUUUAU